CCUACGGGAGGCAGCAGUGAGGAAUAUUGGUCAAUGGACGCAAGUUUGAACCAGCCAUGCCGCGUGCAGGAUGACGGCUCUAUGAGUUGUAAAUUGCUUUUGUCCGAGGGUAAACCCCGAUACGUGUAUCGGGUUGAAAGUAUCGUACGAAUAAGGAUCGGCUAACUCCGUGCCAGCAGCCGCGGUAAUACGGAGGAUCCGAGCGUUAUCCGGAUUUAUUGGGUUUAAAGGGUGCGUAGGCGGUUGGAUGAGUUAGAGGUGAAAUGUCGGGGCUCAACCCCGAAAUUGCCUCUAAUACUGGUGGACUAGAGAAUUGUUGCGGUAGGUGGAAUGUAAGGGGUAGCGGUGAAAUGCUUAGAGAUCAGACAGAACACCGAUGGCGAAGGCAGCUCACCAAACAAAAUCUGACGUUGAGGCACGAAAGCGUGGGUAGCAAACAGGAUUAGAUACCCGAGUAGUC
rnacentral:rRNA from 1 species